GUGAAUCAUCAAAUCUUUGAACGCAAAUUGCGCUUCCUAGCAUCCCGGGAAGUAUGCCUGUUUGCGGGUAAGUAUUAACAAAAAAAUAGGUUUGGUUGAAAAUUGUGAUGUUUCCGGAGUUUGGGCUAUCUUAACUUUUUUGGUUAAGGGGCUUAAAAUUGACGUUUUUUGCGCAUUUUUAGAUGUACAUAAAUUUUUUUUUUAUUCGUCUAUUCUUACUGCCACAAUCUUAUUAGAUGCGAUCAUAUCGUGUGGUUUUGUGUCAAUAAAAUUUUCAUGAUUUGACUUCAUAUCAG
rnacentral:misc_RNA from 1 species